CACGUAGGGGGGCGAGCGUUGUCCGGAUUUAUUGGGCGUAAAGAGCUCGUAGGCGGCUCAGUAAGUCAGGUGUAAAAACUCCAGGCUCAACCUGGAGACGCCAUCUGAUACUGCUGUGGCUAGAGUCCGGUAGGGGAGCAUGGAAUUCCUGGUGUAGCGGUGAAAUGCGCAGAUAUCAGGAGGAACACCGGUGGCGAAGGCGGUUCUCUGGGAAUGUCCUGACGCUGAGGAGCGAAAGUGUGGGGGAGCGAACAGG
rnacentral:rRNA from 1 species